rnacentral:rRNA from 1 species
UACGGGGGGGGCAAGCGUUGUUCGGAAUUACUGGGCGUAAAGGGCUCGUAGGUGGCCAACUAAGUCAGACGUGAAAUCCCUCAGCUUAACUGGGGAACUGCGUCUGAUACUGGAUGGCUUGAGUUUGGGAGAGGGAUGCGGAAUUCCAGGUGUAGCGGUGAAAUGCGUAGAUAUCGGGAGGAACACCUGUGGCGAAAGCGGCGCACUGGACCACAUCUGACGCUGAGGCGCGAAAGCUAGGGGAGCAAACAGG